AUGCUUCAUGCUAGUAUGAUUUCCCCAUGCGAUGAUUUGCCCAUUUAUGAUGAGUAUGAUGAUUCUCAUGUGGAGUCUAUUAGUUGUGAUGCCAUGUUACAUAGGAUUUCUUGUGACAAUUCUUUAGGUCACAUCAUGUUUGAUAAUCCGCUUGACUUGUCAUAUGCUAUGCAUGAGAUCAACCAUAUGUCACAUUUGCAAUCUCUUCAUAGUGACUAUGCAUAUGCCAUUAAAAUAAACCCAAUUUGCACUUAUGGCAUAGAUGACAAGCCCAUGGUUAUUGGCAUUUGUUUUUCUUGUGAUGAUAGUGAUAUGCUCCCUUUGCAUCAUUUAUCUCAUACGCCAUGCCAUGCCCACCUAGCUUUGGAUAUGCAUUGUUUUGGAUGUUGUCCAUUUUCUCCAUAUGAUGUUUCCAAUGUUGUUCAUGAGGAGACCCCCAUAGUUUCCUCAUACAUGUUAGGAGAUUUUGAUCCAUCCCAUCCAUUGCAUGAUCCCAAUAAUUAUGUGCACCAUAUGUUUUCCAUGAAUGAAAAUGCUAUUGAUGUGCCAUAUAAUUGUAUGCUCAAUUUGCAUCCCCAUCAUGUUAUACAUAACAACUAUUCUUUCAUGAUGGAUGACAUGUUCUUAUACCAUGCAUCAAAUUUCUUUGAGCAUUUCUUAUCUUGUGCUAACUCAAACGUGCACAUACACAUCAUGAUGGAUGAUGUGUACAUUUACCACGUGCACAAUUUCUUUGGUUUGUGCCUCUUUUAUGUAGGUACCCAUGAAUACUUGUCAACCUCACAAUCCCAUGAGUUGACAAAACGAGCUCUAGAGAGCAACGACAAUUUGGGAUCCCAUGGAUUGUCUUUCCCAUCGCUCUCUUUGCGCAAAGACUUCACGCAUUUCUUCUACAUGACCCUCACAUGGUUAUGGGUUAUUGGCUAUUACAUAUUCUAUGCCCAUCUUGCCAUGUUCACUUUGCAUGAUAUGCUUAUUCCUAUGCCUUUGCCAUGCAUUUGUGACCCAUGCUUUGCAUUACACAUGAUGAUUGACUCUAGUACUUGUAUGUGUAUUUGCAAGCUUGGCGGGGAUAUUUCUUGUUAUUGCCAUGUUUGCUUUCUACCCCUUUCCUAUGAUGAUACUUCCAUCUUGCUUUGUGUUUGUGCUUGUGACAUGUCAUGCGCAUUGUAUAUGCCUAUUAUUUGCUCACAUGACAUGAUUGCCAUGAUUUUCUUUAGUAUAUUGCAUCUUCGCACUACUAGCUUGCAUGACUUGAUUACUAUGCUUGCUUAUGUUGCAUCACCAAUGACUCAUACUUGCUCAUUUCAUGCGGUUGAUGACAACCAUCUAAAUGCUUUGCACAUGAUUGUUAUUGCUUCUAUUCACAUAUAUCCAUAUGUUGCCUCUCUCGUGCUAGAUUUGCCAUGUAUUGAGUGCAACAAUGCUCUUAAUCUUGCUCGUGAGAUUGCCCCCAUAGCAUUCUCGCAUAUAUUUGGAGAUUUUGACAUAUUACUUGUGAAGCAUGCUUGUCUUACCUGUUUGCCCAUAUACCUAGUGCCAUGA
rnacentral:rRNA from 1 species